AUUGAACGCUGGCGGCAGGCUUAACACAUGCAAGUCGAGCGGGGUGAUGGUGCUUGCACUAUCACUUAGCGGCGGACGGGUGAGUAAUGCUUAGGAAUCUGCCUAUUAGUGGGGGACAACAUCUCGAAAGGGAUGCUAAUACCGCAUACGUCCUACGGGAGAAAGCAGGGGAUCACUUGUGACCUUGCGCUAAUAGAUGAGCCUAAGUCGGAUUAGCUAGUCGGUGGGGUAAAGGCCUACCAAGGCGACGAUCUGUAGCGGGUCUGAGAGGAUGAUCCGCCACACUGGGACUGAGACACGGCCCAGACUCCUACGGGAGGCAGCAGUGGGGAAUAUUGGACAAUGGGCGGAAGCCUGAUCCAGCCAUGCCGCGUGUGUGAAGAAGGCCUUAUGGUUGUAAAGCACUUUAAGCGAGGAGGAGGCUACUUUAGUUAAUACCUAGAGAUAGUGGACGUUACUCGCAGAAUAAGCACCGGCUAACUCUGUGCCAGCCGCCGCGGUAA
rnacentral:rRNA from 1 species